CUCUGGACUGUAAACAAGGCCCUCACUAUGGAGUCGCUUGAAGGCACAUCAAAGUUAAUCAAAUCUUCAUCGUUAGAUAUUCAAGUCCUAAACUGGCUUUAUGAAUAUAGUGUGAAGAAUGGAUUUGAUCAAGCCUGCAGGGGUAUUGAAACAGAAUUCAUAAAAAGAAAGAAGAUGCCAGAUGUACCUUGUUCUGGAUAUCUACUGUAUUUGAGACGUCUUCAGAUGCUUUUGAACAAGAAAAAGUGGAAAACAAGUGCAAAGUUUGAAACCAUUCUUAGACUGUUGACAGACUUAUUACAGUUCAAGCCACUUCAUAAGUGCAUAGUUUUCUAUAAGAAGAUUAUUGUUCUAUAUGUGACUACAAAAUUGCUGCUUGUAAAUGAGCAUCAGCUGGAGAAGGCUGCUGUAGAACAACACAUUUCCCAGUUAUGCUGGAAGGAGUUUAAGAGUCAAUGUCAAUUAGAGGAUGAUUUCUUCAUUGAGACGUUUGAGAGAGUAAAAAAUGCUGCAAGUGAAUCCAUAGAAGCAAGUGCAAGAGGUUCAGUAAAGAAUACAAGAUGUUUGAAAAAAGUACUAUUACUUCAAGCUAAUAGCCAUGUGUAUGGUAGCCUCCCUGAACUUUUGGCUAAGUUAUUACAAUUGCUUCCACCAACUGCAUUAGAAAAGAUUAUAAAGGAUGAAGAUAUCCAGAAUGAUCUGGCAAGACAAAAUACACAGGAAUACAGGAUACUUCUUAACUGUAUCAAAGACAGUCUCACUGGAAAUGCUAUAAGAGAUGCUGUGAAAAAAUUGUCAGUUUCAAAAGAGGAGUUAUCAGAUUUUAAUCCUCAUAAUGAUGAGGAAAGCCAUUGCAGUCUUAAUUCCUCUGCAGAGCAGGAUAGCCAGAUAGAUACUUCUGAUAUAACAGUUCAUGAAGAGAUGGAUAUUAUUCAAGUAAAUGGUAAACUUUGGACAGUUAAGAAAUGUGCAAGUGUCCCAGUUGAUGUCAAGAAUUUAAGUUGUAUAGAGUCUUUAUCUGAAGACAGUGCUGAAGAAGGUCUUGCUGAUGAUAUGGAACAACAGGAGUCAUCUUACUUUAGGCAUGAAAAUGAAAUCAUAGUUCACAAUGGAAAAGUAUGGGAAGUAAAACCCACAAAAGUGUUGCCUGUGAAUUCCCAAGAUAUUCUAACCGAUGACAGUGAGUAUGACUCACAAAUGGAAGAUCCAAGAAUUACAGAAGAAAGAUAUGAGGAUUCUGAAAUUAGGGAAUUAGAAGAAUUGAUAAGGACAAUGGAAAAAUAUGUAACAAAACUGAAAUAUAAAUUAAAGAUCAUGAAGGAUAGACGGGGUACUCAGAGAUACAGACCCCAAACUCCAGAUGAAGACCAGGGGCAUUUUGAACCAAAGACAAGAGGUGGGAGUGAAAUGGAAAGACAUUCAUUACAACAGAGAUCCCCAAGUAAUGAUGGAAGAUCAUCAAAUUUUAACAAUGUGGAGGGCAAGCAGUGUACUUUAGGAGCUUCAAGUGAAGAUUGCGAAACUCUCAGGCUAUCUGGCAGCAUUUCUAGUAGUACAGUUAACCAGCAAAACCAGGAUUUAGAUAAAAUAAGACAGAUACUUUGUGAAACGCUAAUAGACAAAAAUGCAGCAAAAUCUGGAUGUAAAACUCCUUAUAAUGAAAUGAAACAAUCCAGAAAUAACAUAAAAAAGCUUUCUCACUUAGAACCUGAAAUUAUUACUUAUGUGUCAUCGUCAUCUCAAGAAGACAAUGGGGAUGAUUGUGACAAUUCACAGUGUUUUCAGAAGGUUGUUAAUAAUAUAAAUGUUAUACCAGAAACUCCUGAAGUUUCAGAAAGACAAUUUAAAGAAGAACCAGAUACAUUUUUAGAGGAACCAGAAUGGAAAAACACAGACAAAGAAAAUGUGAAACCAAAGACACCAUAUAUGGCAACAGCAAAUUUCUUAAAACAUGAAUGUAAUAUACACACAGAUGAAGGUACUGAUAGUGAUACUACAUAUUAUACUCUUUGUGACCAGAGUGCUGUGAAUCCUGAAAUGGGAGACAAAAUGAGUAUAUGCAGUUUGAAAUCCAAAGGUAAAGCUUUAGAUAAAUCUAAAGGUAAAAAGCAAGUGAAAGAUAUUUGUGAACUUGUAAGUCAUGAUGAAGUACUGCAGAAAAGAGACAAAUACAAAAGAAAAUUGGUAAAUAUUGCUAAGGAAGUAGAAGACUUAACAGAUUCAGAUGACCUUGCUUCUCGGGUCAAAAUGAGCCCUAGAAAAUGUUCGACCAAAUCAUCGAGAAAUCUGGCCAUUAACUCAUCCACAAAAGGCUGUCAGAAAAAGACAAAAGUGUAUAAUGAAUUUUUGGACAAAAUUAAUGAGAUUGAGGAAAGAGAUAAAGUUACUGAUGUGUCCGAAGAUACAACAUUACAAGAUGAUGAUAUUUUCCACACCCCAAUGAACAGUCCAGAACCAGCACCAAAGCGUGCCAGAAUUUGUAAUGAAAAAGAAGUUUCUCCAGUUACUGAUGUAACAGCAAACACAAGCAAUGCACAGGUGAAUUUUCUUAGUUAUUGAAUGUUUUCCAGAGUCAAACAGCACAUCAUCCACCAGUUCAGGACUGCAAGGUUGUCCUAAAGUUCAGUUACUGGGUAGAUAAAAAGAAGUACGCCAUUUAUAAUUGAAGACAUGACUAAAAAGGAGCAGGC
rnacentral:misc_RNA from 1 species